GUCCAAUGAAAGUACCACGGCUUGCCGCGAAACUGAUCCAACCUGUCAUUUUCUAUUGAACUUAUAAAUACAACAGCGGGUCACCAAUGUCACAUAUUUGUGUUAGUUACCAUCAGCAAACGCUCCGUUAACAACUAUCUUCGCGAUUCAGGUGAUUUUAAACGAAAGAAGCACGUAAUUAGGAAACGGUGCUGAUUUUUGGUUUCCGGAAUGACUUAAUUAACCUCGUCGGUGUUGGGAGCGUGACCUUUUCCGAGGGUGGAGAUACUGUUAACGUUUACGGGAAGAAGGAAACGUUUUUCCAUCAUGUGGAAUUUUGGUGUUCUGUUAGUUGGUAUCAGUGUGGUGGUGGUUAGUGCGGGUAUGGAUAUUCUUCCUUCUUCCUCCAUAGUGACGUCAUCACCAAACAUAAGACCCUCCAAUGAAACAGCGACUCCCGUGUCUAAGGAUGUAAAUGAAAGGCAAAUCGAAGACACUUCUGCGACAGAUUUUGUAGAUGAGAUGCUCAGCCUUUUCGUUCAGUUUGUCAGCAAUGAUAAAGAUGCAAGUUCGAGCGGUCAAGAAGAGUCUAAGCUGGUUAACAAUGCAUCCGAAGGCAGAGGAGUUGGCCGGCUGAAGAAAUUCCUACUACCAUUCCUGUUGGGUGUCUCGAUGAAGACAAAAGCUGUGAUCAUAGCGGCCAUCGGGUUCCUGAUGGUUCUCACGAAAAUCACGUUCAUCAAGAGCAAGAUAGCGCUCGUGAUCGGAGUGGGUCUGCUCCUGUACCACCUCUACGUGAAGAAACACGCCAUCCACCACAUCAAACACGCCCUCCACCACCCGGUGCCGUACGACGUGUCGCCCGCCUGGUCAGCGCCCCUCGCCGCUUGGGCCAUCCCCGAUUGGGGCGCUGCAGCCGCCCUCCCCGCCGCCGGCCACCUCGCCGCCGCCCCCUACGUACCCCACAUCCUCCGCAAAACUUCCCACGAGCAACCGACCCGAUUCCGCAGAUGAUCAUCCCUCAUGUUCCCGAUUUAGGUUAGGUAAUUUAUUUCUUAGUAAUUAGUCGAUUCUGUAAAAUACACCAUCAUUCCCAUCAAAGAAUUUUAUUCCACAAAGUCAUUUCACCCUACCUCAGUAGCACUGACUAUGAAAUGGACUGCAUUUUGCAAUUCGGAACUAGAAAUUCCGGCCCGGUUUAAAAACAACGUAUGUGCCAUUAGUUUCCCUGUGCACAUAAGUGUUUUUUCAGAUGAGUUAGAAUUUAUAGCUCCAAAUUGCAAAAUGCAGUCCAAAUAAUGUUAGACCCAGAAAGAAAGAAAAAAUCAAAUUGAUAAAAUGUAGCAUGUUACCGAAACCCAUUUUUCAAUUAAAAUUCACCGAAAAUACACUUUGAACUAAAAAAUGAAAAAAUUGGCAUGACAAUUUCGUGAAGUUCUAAAAAACAUUCAUAUUUACCAUUAGCUAAGCACAGAAUAAACUACAAAAUAUGUAGCAUAUUGAAACUAAAAAUGUAAAAUUGUUGGUAAAAUUUACUAAAAUGGAGUGAUAUAUAUACUUGUAAAAGUUUAGGGUGGCCUUUUUACGCACAGGAGAACAAAACGGGUUUCCGAACUCGGAUGUUCUAACAGUUUUUUCAGUUUUCUCUUUGAAAUUUACGAGUUUGCUUGACUAUUUUUUUAAUGGUCAACGCUAAAAAGGAAGUUAAAUAUUGUAUAAUUCGGUCUGGUUUAGACGGGAAUGAGAAUUGAAAAAGUUUCUUAUCAAAAUGUGCUAAGUAUAAAUUAUGGACCUGAACCUCAGUAAAAUGCACCCCUCUUUGCCUUAUACGCGUGUUCUAAUGCUAAUUUUUAAGGAGUUUUCUUUUUAAAAAUUAAUAUACAAGGCUUAUGACUGAGCAAGUUUGAGCAAAUAUUUUCCGUGGACGAUUUAUUCUACAUCAUUUUUGAAAGAACUAUCAAAUUAUUCUAAAAUUUAUGUACUUUCUGUGGCUUAAAACAAAAAAAAUGAUGAUAAUUGCAAAUUACAUGAAAAUUUGCGUACAGUGUGAUCGUGCAUUUAACAUGGAGGUGAUCCGAUUUCGUACUGUUUGACUAUUAUGUAAACUCGAGUAUAAGGUAAAGAGGCGAUUCUCAGAGACUUAAGUGGAUGACAAUGUAUAACUAUUCGCUCAGAAACAAUUGAAAAUUCGACCACCUUCUUCCUUUCCCCUGUUUCUCCGAAACAUUCUCCGACAGCAGGUCUAUGAACAAUAGACGGAGUAAACCAGGAAACGAAUGGGCCACAUUGAGUUUAGAUGUGUACGUCUUUUCUAUCAGGCAUCAAAAACCUUCCUUUAAGUUAAAGAAACACAAUUAAUAUUGAGUCGAUAAUUUUUACAUCAUGGCAUAAAAUUACUGGUUUGAAUCAUAUGAUUCACUAUUUAACCAUUCUAUUCUCAUUUUAACCCGAAUGCCAUGUAUGAUUAAAAAAGAUCGUUCCCUAAAGUUUAAUACGCUGUAGCCCCUUUAGUCGAUGAUUUCCACUAUUCCCAAGAA
rnacentral:lncRNA from 1 species